AUCUUGCGCAAUGGGCGAAAGCCUGACGCAGCAACGCCGCGUGCGGGAUGAAGGCCCUCGGGUUGUAAACCGCUUUCAGCAGGGACGAAAUUGACUGUACCUGCAGAAGAAGCCCCGGCUAACUACGUGCCAGCAGCCGCGGUAAUACGUAGGGGGCAAGCGUUAUCCGGAUUCAUUGGGCGUAAAGAGCGCGUAGGCGGCUUGUUAAGUCAGAUGUGAAAACUGGGGGCUCAACCCGCAGCCUGCAUCUGAAACUGGCAGGCUUGAGUCUGGUAGAGGAAAGUGGAAUUCCCAGUGUAGCGGUGAAAUGCGCAGAUAUUGGGAGGAACACCAGUGGCGAAGGCGGCUUUCUGGGCCACGACUGACGCUGAGGCGCGAAAGCUAGGGGAGCAAACAGG
rnacentral:rRNA from 1 species